rnacentral:rRNA from 1 species
UACGUAGGGUGCAGGCGUUAAUCGGAAUUACUGGGCGUAAAGCGUGCGCAGGCGGUUUGCUAAGACAGGUGUGAAAUCCCCGGGCUUAACCUGGGAACUGCGCUUGUAACUAGCAGGCUAGAGUGUGGCAGAGGGGGGGUGGAAUUCCACGUGUAGCAGUGAAAUGCGUAGAAGAUGUGGAGGAACACCGAUGGCGAAGGCAGCCCCCUGGGCUAACACUGACGCUCAUGCACGAAGCGUGGGGAGCAAACAGG